UAACAUUAGGUCAAACAAGCCAGUUUCAUUUAAUACUAAGCAUGUUUAAGGAUAAAUGUCAAAGUUCAGUUCCGCUGACUAAUGAUGUAAAUCAGGAAUCACUGAAGCCAGACACCUAUUCUGAUCUUAUACCAAAUUUGUGUUAGGAUUACUCACUGAAAUAAAUCAGUUCUUUACCAGGAAUCCAUCCUACUGACACAUGAGCAGUUCAUAAACUUUGCUCAGACAAGGAAAUCAUGCCAUGCAGUGAUGCAAUUAGUUUCAUUUAAAGGAAAGAAAGAAGUGGAAGAAAUGAAAAGGGAAAAAAGCACUGUGUUUGAUAAUUUCUCCAUUUAAAUCUUGAAGAGGCUUUGACAUCAGCUACAGAAUGGAGGGGUGGUUAGAACCCCUUCCCAGGACUACUGCUUGCUGGAAUCAAUUUUCUGGAAGACUGAUUUCAUACUGCCACACCACAUCAGAUUACAUUCUGAUUAUUAUAUCUUUUUGACAUUAAGAAAGAAAAGUAUUCUGCACUUUUUUUUGUAUAAUUUGCAAAAAUAUAACUGAAUUGAAGAGGCUUAUUGCUGAAAACCAUAAAACCACAAGAGGCUGAAUGAAUCAUGGAAUCAUGGAAUGCUUUUCGUUGGAAGAGACUAGGAAAGAUGCCCUCCUUGAGAUGCUCAAAAAUCUUUUUUGGAGUUCAAACAAUUAUUCACAGCCUGGAUAGAAGGCAUCUGCAGUCACUUGGAGGAUUUGGUCUCCUGCACGGCCAUAUGAGACACUUCAGUCAACUUGUGGGCACAAACAUAAUUGCAGAAUUUCAUGUGUAUAUAUCUAUGUUAUCAUAUUCUUUCACUGUGAAAGCAGUAACUACUGUAUGUGGUAAAAUGAUAUAUUGUUGUCCGCAAAAUGUCUUUGGCAACAGGAUGUUCACUAGCCUUGGAAUUUUGCCUUGUAUAAAUAUUUUUAAUCUACUCUAUGUAGGCAUAUUUUGGCUGCAAAAUAAAGGGUUUUGGAGAUUAAUAUAUCCAAGCUCAGUUCUGCUUAUACAUACUACAUACAUCAAGGUUUUAUUGAACUCUGCAUCUAGAAACUUUGCAAAGCAGCUGUUUUGUUGGGUUUUUUUUGCCUCCUUUACUCAAAGGGGGAUUAUGGCUAUAUCCUAUUUUUAUACUCUACAAAUGUAGUAAUUUAAUCUACAGAUAUAUUUUCAUUCUUCAGAUGUAACCUAUAUAAAGCAUGUUCAAAUUUAUGGUCAUUGCUUUUCCUGUAAAGAAUAUUAUUGGCCUCUUUUCAAAUGUCCACAUUUUCCCAAGGACUGUCCAAAUAGCUAUUUUUUAAUGAAUAAAGAAUGUAACAAUUAUCUGACA
rnacentral:lncRNA from 1 species